rnacentral:rRNA from 1 species
AUGUGCGACUAUCGGUCUAGGAUCGCAUCUCAGCCCCUGGGACUCUUUUGAACGCAACGGACGUGAUUGCAACCCCUUGUUGAGAUUAGAGGAGUCUCGAUAUUCAUUGGCCAAACUUACCGCUUCGAGCUUGCUCGUGCAGUUUUGUUAGCCGGUGGAUAAACUCGGGGGACUGCUGACUAUAACCAUUUCUCAAAACAGAGGAAGGUUGCGGCAAUAACAGGUCUGUGAUGCCCUCAGAUGU